CUCCCCCCAACUGAUCCAUCACUCCUCCAUAUCCCUAAAAUCCGUUCAUAUUCUCCUCCCAUAACUCCCAAUUCUCUUCUUCUUGUUGCUUCCCAGUUUCCCCUAUAUACAUUGAUGAUAUGAGGUUACUUUCAUUCUACGUCUCUUGAUUCUCAGCUCUCUGAAAUCCUUAUCUCCGCCCUCUCAUGGAUAUCUAUUUAUCGGUUGUGCUCGGCGGCGAAGUGGUGGUAGUGAUUUAUGUUCACAGGUAUAAAAUUGCUUCUAAGAUCUGAAAGGUGCUUACAUUACGUUAGUUUCAUUGUUACUUCUAUGGGUAAUGUGAUUCGGUUACUUGUUUAUGAGUGAGACGCCCACCGAUUGUUCGAAGAAUUUCCCUCUAACUAGAGGCUUCGAGGCAACGAAAGAAGACUGUCAUCUAUUGGUUGCUUCAGUUUUCAUUUUUUUCAUUUGUGUGGCCGAGGUGUACACCAAAGUAGGAAACUUGGUGAAUCAAGUGAAAAAAUAGGCAACGGUUUCAUUGUAGUUGUUAAUUAAUGUUUAGAAUUCACUUAGCAUUUUGUUCAGUUCAUUUUACUGAUAUGUCUUGAAUUUCUUCUUUAUGAUGUUAUUUUGUACACACUAUAUAUUCCUUCAUCACUUAUCUUAAUGUUUAUGUCUUUUUAAUUGUUUGUGUAAUUAAAUAGCAUCAGUGUCCUUGAAGAGUGCAAACCAUUUAGGAAAAAACAAGUUGAUUAAUAUUAGUUCACUAUUUACAAACAUAUGUAAUCUCAUAUUUCUCUAGUCUUAUUAUUUAUUAUUAGUUGUGUCUUUGUUCUUUUUAAUAUGGGUUCAAGUCAUCAUACAGGUUCUUCAAUUACUUUGAUUGGCGUUUUGUUACUCAAGCUAUUGUGGCCCUGAAUGUAAUGCAACGUUUGUCAGUCAAUGAAAUAUAAUUGGAAAUGCACCAGUAACAAAAGAGAAGAUAUAACAGAGUUGUUAAUGCCACCUCAACACGUUUGUAGGUGACAUAACACUUGAGAUUACAUUCAAUAUUUGUGAGAAGAUGUGCAACAAAAAUGAUGAUAAAAAAUCUCUCUCUUGAUGUGGUUACUAUUGAAGAUGUGAGCAUGUUUGUCAUUCAAGCGCAACUAUGUUGUUUGCCAUUGGUUUAUGUUAUAAGUGUCAAAUUGUAUAGAAUAUAGUUUGAUUUGUGUUUGUAAA